GUUUUCUCUCUCUCCUUCUC
rnacentral:sRNA from 1 species